rnacentral:rRNA from 1 species
ACGCUGGCGGCACGCCUAACACAUGCAAGUCGAACGAAGUAGCAAUACUUAGUGGCAGACGGGUGAGUAACAUGUAGGUAUCUGCCCUUUGGCCUGGAAUAACACGAGGAAACUUGUGCUAAUACCGGAUAAGUCUUUACGGAGAAAGCUUUAUGCACCAUUGGAUGAGCCUGCACUUGAUUAGUUUGUUGGUGGGGUAAUGGCCUACCAAGACUGUGAUCAAUAGCUGAUUUGAGAGGAUGAUCAGCCACAUUGGGACUGAGACACGGCCCAAACUCCUACGGGAGGCAGCAGUGGGGAAUCUUGCACAAUGGAGGAAACUCUGAUGCAGCGAUGCCGCGUGAGUGAAGAAGGCCUUUGGGUUGUAAAGCUCUUUCGUCGGGGAAGAAAAUGACUGUACCCGAAUAAGAAGGUCCGGCUAACUUCGUGCCAGCAGCCGCGGUAAUACGAAGGGACCUAGCGUAGUUCGGAAUUACUGGGCUUAAAGAGUUCGUAGGUGGUUGAAAAAGUUAGUGGUGAAAUCCCAGAGCUUAACUCUGGAACUGCCAUUAAAACUUUUCAGCUAGAGUAUGAUAGAGGAAAGCAGAAUUUCUAGUGUAGAGGUGAAAUUCGUAGAUAUUAGAAAGAAUACCAAUUGCGAAGGCAGCUUUCUGGAUCAUUACUGACACUGAGGAACGAAAGCAUGGGUAGCGAAGAGGAUUAGAUACCCUCGUAGUCCAUGCCGUAAACGAUGUGUGUUAGACGUUGGAAAUUUAUUUUCAGUGUCGCAGGGAAACCGAUAAACACACCGCCUGGGGAGUACGACCGCAAGGUUAAAACUCAAAUGAAUUGACGGGGACCCGCACAAGUAGUGGAGCAUGUGGUUUAAUUCGAAGAUACGCGCAGAACCUUACCAACACUUGACAUGUUCGUCGCGACUCUAAGAGAUUAGAGUUUUCGGUUCGGCCGGACGAAACACAGGUGCUGCAUGGCUGUCGUCAGCUCGUGUCGUGAGAUGUUGGGUUAAGUCCCGCAACGAGCGCAACCCUCACUUUUAGUUGCCAUCAUUAAGUUGGGCACUCUGAAAGAACUGCCAGUGAUAAGCUGGAGGAAGGUGGGGAUGACGUCAAGUCCUCAUGGCCCUUACGUGUUGGGCUACACACGUGCUACAAUGGUAUCUACAACAGGAAGCAAGACUGCGAAGUUAAGCAAAUCCCUAAAAGAUACCUCAGUUCGGAUUGCACUCUGCAACUCGAGUGCAUGAAGCUGGAAUUACUAGUAAUCGUGGAUCAGCGUGCCACGGUGAAUGCGUUCCCGGGUCUUGUACAC